rnacentral:rRNA from 1 species
UGCAGUCGACGAUGAUGCCAGCUUGCUGGGUGGAUUAGUGGCGACGGGUGAGUAACACGUGAGUAACCUGCCCCUGACUCUGGGAUAAGCGUUGGAAACGACGUCUAAUACUGGAUAUGAUCACUGGCCGCAUGGUCUGGUGGUGGAAAGAUUUUUUGGUUGGGGAUGGACUCGCGGCCUAUCAGCUUGUUGGUGAGGUAAUGGCUCACCAAGGCGACGACGGGUAGCCGGCCUGAGAGGGUGACCGGCCMACUGGGACUGAGACACGGCCCAGACUCCUACGGGAGGCAGCAGUGGGGAAUAUUGCACAAUGGGCGAAAGCCUGAUGCAGCAACGCCGCGUGAGGGAUGACGGCCUUCGGGUUGUAACCUCUUUUAGUAGGGAAGAAGCGACUGUGACGGUACCUGCAGAAAAGCACCGGCUACUACGUGCCAGCAGCCGCGGUCAUACGUAGGGUGCAGCGUUGUCCGGAAUAUUGGGCGUAAGA